rnacentral:lncRNA from 1 species
AACUUUGGGUAUAAUUUGUUGUGCAGCAAUAAAUAGCUAAUAUACAAUAUUUCCACUGAGAAGUUAACUGUUAUUUUGAACUCUGAAUCUCAUAUAGACCAGUGUUCACUUUAUCUUACUCUCUCUCUCUCCUCUCUCUCACUCUCUGUCUCUGAAAUUUCUUCAGAUUUUUUAUUUGUUUCUGGUGCUCUUACUUUUCACAAUGUUGGAACUUAUUGAUGGUUCUGUCUGUGUCUAUUGGGCUGGACAUGCUUUAGGAUCUUUUAUAACCUGUACUCAGUUUGAGUAGUUUCUUGGGUUGAUUCCGUUUUGAUUUUCUCAUUUCUUUGGAAAUUUAUAAUUUUAAAAUUUUGGACCACUGAGAACAUUUUUAAAUUGUCUUAAUCUAACUUUCCACUUCUAUUCUUUUGCCUAUUCUUCUUAGAUAAUUUUUACACUUUAUUUUCAAGCCCUUCUAUUAAUAUUUUUAUUUCUGCUGUGUUAUUUCUAAGACUUACAGAUUUUAUAAUGCUAUUUUUUAGCAUCUCUCCUAUUUUGUGGAUAUGUCAUCUUUUCUCUCUGAAUAUGAUAAUGAGGCUUUCAUUUGUUUUCUAAGUUUUUAUAUCCCUAGGUAUUUACUGUUUUGAUAAUUUUUUCUUCCCUGUUUGUUUGCUUUGCUUUUUUCUUCCAAGAUAAAGCCUGGAAGCUGCACGUCACCUGCCAGCUUUGUGUGUGCCCAGUGAGUGCAGGUGGCAUAAUGACCAGCGGUGACUUGAAUGACAAGGGGACAGAACAGCUGGACAAUCCAAUUCCUAGAUGCUUUCUCCAGUUAUGGCCCUGACUGGGAUCUCCGAAGAAUGACUCAGCUGAAACUGUCAGUGAGGAUGCUUACCUGUGGUCUCCCCAUCAUGGUGGUAUCAGGGUUGUUGAACACCUUACAUGGCUCCAAAAGCAAGUGUUCUGGAAUGUAAGGCAACAGCUGUGUGGUCUUUCAUAAUCCAGCAUCAGAAGUCACAUGGCAUCACUCCUGCUAAAAUUUCUUUGUGGAAGCAGCCACAAAACUGCCCAAAUUCAAGUAGAGGGCACACAGAUCUUAUUUUUUGAUGGGAGGACUCACAAAAAUUUUGCCACCAUAUUAUAAAAACACUAUAAGAUCUAAUAGUAACUUUAACUUUUUUUAACCAAUCCUUCUAUUUUCAGCCCAGACUUCACUUCCUUAUUCAGAUGUAUAAAUGUCUUCUGUGGCUUUGUGAUCAAAUCUGAAUGUUUCUUGGAUUUACCCCUGCCAGCUAAGGAUUUGGCCUUCUUUGAUCUGUUAAAUCAGUUCUCAAACACUGACUUGUUUUCCAUCUAAAAUAUCAGGGUGACCUUUAUCCCAUUCUCAUUGCUUUGAGGAUUUUGUGCCCCCUUUUUUAAAGUCACUUUCUAUGUAUUUUUAUAUGAGUGAGGUUUUGGGAGAAAGUACAGAUAAAUAUAUAUUCUCAAUCUACCACUUUAAUUGAAAAUUCUUGUUUUUUCUUUUACAAAAUUCCUAAUGUUUGCCUAACAAACAUUUAUUGAGAAACUGCUGUAUUUUCAGUAUGUGUUAAGGUCUGUGUACAUCUAUUUUAUAUACAUUAUCUUAUUUAAUAUGCUCAUUUAAUUUCCACAUCUUGUUUAACAUUUAUAAUCUUUUGAUUUGUUAAAUACAAUUUGUAGAAGACCAUUGGUUUAGCGUGAGCUGCACCAGGCCUGGCAGACCAAACCAAAAUGUAGUAUCUCAUACUAAAGUUCCAUGCCACCAAGCUGAAACUAAGUUGUUUAUCUGACUUUCCAAGAAGUCAGGAGAAAGAGAUAACAGUCAAAUCCCCAAAUAUGCUAGUUUGAGUUGGCAUGAUAGGAAAGUUCCUUCCACUUUAGCCUUUAUACGAAAGUAACUUUGGAAUGAUCAGUCUGCUUUUUGUUUCCUGUUUCUGUUUCAGCACUUUUUGUAAAGCCAACUUCUUCUCAGCACAUCAGAACACUCAUUCUACUUUAUAGAAUGAGGUAUAAUCUGAAUCUAAAAUCACAAAUAAAAGCCAAUUAAGAUUUUUAAAGUAAGUUUGUUGUAAUUUUGUCUUUUGACAGAUUUCAUCAUUGCCUACAUUUGUCUUCAGACGACCUGCAGUACAAACUUGGCUUAAACCUGCAGUUGACAAUGGAUUCACCGUGGGAGAAUAAAUUACAAUGGAUAAAAAACAGCAUUACAAUCCCUCAAUAAAAUGGGAUUUUAACAGACAAAGGUGAGUCAGUGGUGAAAGGCAGGAGAAGAUACAACAGGUAAGUGUCUGACUUCAGGCUGGAGCCCUAAUAUAAUAAUAAGUCCUUCUUGUAUUGUAAUCUCUUACAGCUGAAUCUCCAUGUGCUCUCUCUCUCUUCUAACAUCAAUGCAGCUCCUGGUAUGUGGUCGUUCUCAGGCCCAAAGGCCCAUUUUGCUUUUGGCUGCAACUCUGUAACUCUGUAACAGAGACCAAGUGCCUGCAGGGAGCAGAUGUUUGGGGCAGUAUCUGCUAAGGUGGCUUUGCUGAAACUUGUUUCUCUCAUUGGGUCUUGGAAGUGGCGAAUAGGACGUUCCUAUAGAAAAACUCAGAAAGAGACUGUGAAAGAUAAUCUUAAAGAGGCACUCACGAAACACAAGCUCCUUCUCCGGGAAAAAGAAUCAUCACCCUUGUUAUCCCAUGAAAAUUCAUCUUCUCCUUUUCAGCUGAUAUGAGGACUUGAUCUGUCCUUUCCUAUAAGUGCCAUCUGUGUUUAAAUGAGGCUGUUACUCUAACUCAAAGCAGACUUGCAAGAGUAAAAUAAUCAAUCUUCAUCAUAUUGCUGCACUUUCGACAGUUAAUUUUCUAGAGUAAUUUGUCAUUGUGAGGAGCAUAAGAUUUGUCUGAAUUUGUGUCAAAGGUUAUUGACUGAAUUGCCACCUCAUCUUUUCAGUCAAUCUAUAAAUAUGGGCAAGUUUGGGCAGAGGCUAAUGGCCUUCUCACUAAGGGGAUGAGAUUGUCCAAGUUAGGCAACUGAUAAGAGGUAGAAAUAUCUAUUGUGUCACCCAUUUCUUGUGGUAGCAUUGACUUAGAGUUAAUCUCAGAAACUUCACUUAACCUUCUUAAUCCUUUUCUUCCUGUAAAACAAGGCUAAAAAUUGUCAUAACUAUAUUCUAGUUUCCACAAAAGCUAAUCUAAGUAUUAAAAUUUUUAUUGUGACUUUGUGAGAGUGAUCCUGUAUUUUUCACAAAACUAAGAAGAAAAUAUUUUUAUUUAGUGUUUUUCUAUGAAUAGCUUUUGGUUUUUGGAAAAACCAUCUGAUCUUUAUUACUAAGAUUCUUGCUUCUUAGGUCAAAUUCUUGUUCCCUGUCUUUAUAUAGAGUCUAAUAUUGGGAACAUACCCAAGGACCACAUGGAUAAUUUUAUGAUGCUUGCUGACUAUUAUGUUUCUUGCCCACUUUAAUAGCCUAAUAAUAAUAGUUACGAAUUCUUAUUGAGAAAUAGCCAUUCUUAAUCAAUGCCAAUGACAGUGUUUCCUCUUUCAGACUGAAGGAAAAACAGGGAGAAAACCAGUUCAUAUAUUAUGGUUAAACACUGAUAAAACAUUUUGGUUAAAUAUCUGCCUUCAUGGGUUAUUGCAAAAUAGAUUAGUUUAAAGCUCAUCUAGCCCUGAAAUAUACAGUUAGAUUAUUUUUUAUGGAUUUCAAUUAUUUUUAUUUCAUUACAGUUAUUUUUUUUUCAAUACAUGGCCUGUUUGAAGAUACAUCAUAGUAAUGGUAACAGCAGCAACCACUGCAGUAAAUAACUGACAAUUGCUGAACAAUUCAUGUCUGCCAUGCCAUGCUAUGAGGGCCUUAAGGAAUAAAUACAACUUAUAUUCAUAAUAAACAUAGGAGGUUGUAGAAGGCUAAAUAAUGGGUCACCAAAGAUACCCACAUCCCAUAAUUCCUGUAACUGGUGACUAUGUUACCUUGCAUGGUAGAAGGGAUUUUGCAGUUGAGGUUAAGGUUAAAGACUUUAUAAAGGCAGAUUAUCUUGGAUUAUCUGGGUGGGUCUUUAAAAGCGGAAGAGAAAAGCAGAAAAGCAAGUCAGACAGACAGAUGCAACUACAGAAGAGACAGUAGGGACUCAACUCAAAUGACUAACUUUGAAGAUGGAGGAGGUGGUCCAUGAGGCAAGGAAUGCACUUGCUUCUAGAAGCUGGGAAUAACCCACAGCUAGAAGCAAAGUAGGAAAUGGAAGUCUCAAUUCUACAUCGUAAGGAAGUGAAUUCUGCCAAUAACUUGAAAGAGAAGGAAAUAGAUUCCCUCCAGAGGCUCUAGAAAAUAAUGUAUCCCUGCUGACACCUUAAUUUGAUUUGAGCCCCAUGAGACCCACGUUGGACUUCUGACUUAUGGAGCUUGUAAGAUAAUAAAUUUGCAUUGUUUCAGCCACUACAUUUGUGGAAAUUUGUUACAACCACAAUAGGAAACUCAUAGAAUAGUAAUCACUAGUAAUAUCUUCAUUUAACAGUUGAGGAAAUUGAGGCAGGACAACACAAGUUAUAAAAAUUAUCUCAGUUCUUAGUAGAGUUCCUGGCAUAUGACAAGCAGUUAAUGUCUUUGUAGAAUGAAUGAAUGAAUAAAUAAAUAGAUUUUUUCUUAUGCUUUCCCAAA